UACGAAGGGGGCUAGCGUUGCUCGGAAUCACUGGGCGUAAAGCGCACGUAGGCGGAUCUUUAAGUCAGGGGUGGAAUCCUGGAGCUCAACUCCAGAACUGCCCUUGAUACUGGGGAUCUUGAGUCCGGAAGAGGUGAGUGGAACUCCGAGUGUAGAGGUGAAAUUCGUAGAUAUUCGGAAGAACACCAGUGGCGAAGGCGGCUCACUGGUCCGGUACUGACGCUGAGGUGCGAAAGCGUGGGGAGCAAACAGG
rnacentral:rRNA from 1 species